rnacentral:lncRNA from 1 species
CUUGGCUCAAUUUGAUCUUAAACUUUCACCGUUUGGGGUUUGUCUGUGUGCUUGGCACAUCUUUAUGGACUGUGGCAUUGGGAAUCUGCAUUAUAAAAGCAAUUAUUUCUCAUAGUAAAAGGGAAAAUGAUAGCUCAGAUUAAUGUGCAAGUUGGGUCUUCUGAUGAAGAUAUGUUCUCAUUUAUAAUUUAAAGCUGAUAGAACUGAACUAAGUCCAGGCUCAGUAUUAGCGUUCAACUUAAUAAAGGAGUCUUGGCUUUCAGCAGUAGGAAACAAUGAUCAGGGAGAGGCAUCCUAGUGUUUUGGUGUGGGAUUACAGGAGUUUGAUAGAGGAGAACUUAAGAUCCCAAGACAACUUGUCAGUCUGUGGAUCUGCACAUCACCUUGUUUUGACGAUGUCCAGCACUGAGGUUUUUUCCCCAAAAGUUACUGCUUUCCUAUCUAGUGUGUGAAGUUUAAAGUUACUUGUCUCUCCUACGGAUGACUUAACUGACCUUGGCCUUGUAAGUUUCCUGUUGAAUAAACUGCUGAAUGUUGAAAGCAAGUGAAAUGUGAAAUAAAACCAUCCUGCUGGGAUGAAAAGC